AUUGAACGCUUGCGGCAGGCCUAACACAUGCAAGUCGAGCGGAGCGGCGGACGGGUGAGUACUGCCUAGGAAUCUGCCUGGUAGUGGGGGAUAACGUCCGGAAACGGGCGCUAAUACCGCAUACUAUCAGAUGAGCCUAGGUCGGAUUAGCUAGUUGGUGUGGUAAAGGCCUACCAAGGCGACGAUCCGUAACUGGUCUGAGAGGAUGAUCAGUCACACUGGAAGUGAGACACGGGCAAGACUUCUACGUGAGGCAGGAGUGGGGAAUAUGGUACAAGGGGAGAAAGCCUGAUCCAGCCAGGCGGCGUGUGUGAAGAAGGUCUUCGGAUUGGAAAGAACUUUAAGUUGGGAGGCGUUACCAACAGAAUAAGCACCGGCUAACUUCGUGCCAGCAGCCGCGGUAAUUC
rnacentral:rRNA from 1 species